rnacentral:rRNA from 1 species
CCGGGUUGCGGACAGUGUCUGGUGGGUAGUUUGACUGGGGCGGUCUCCUCCUAAAGAGUAACGGAGGAGCACGAAGGUUGGCUAAUCCUGGUCGGACAUCAGGAGGUUAGUGCAAUGGCAUAAGCCAGCUUGACUGCGAGCGUGACGGCGCGAGCAGGUGCGAAAGCAGGUCAUAGUGAUCCGGUGGUUCUGAAUGGAAGGGCCAUCGCUCAACGGAUAAAAGGUACUCCGGGGAUAACAGGCUGAUACCGCCCAAGAGUUCAUAUCGACGGCGGUGUUUGGCACCUCGAUGUCGGCUCAUCACAUCCUGGGGCUGAAGUAGGUCCCAAGGGUAUGGCUGUUCGCCAUUUAAAGUGGUACGCGAGCUGGGUUUAGAACGUCGUGAGACAGUUCGGUCCCUAUCUGCCGUGGGCGCUGGAGAAUUGAGGGGGGCUGCUCCUAGUACGAGAGGACCGGAGUGGACGCAUCACUGGUGUUCGGGUUGUCAUGCCAAUGGCACUGCCCGGUAGCUAAAUGCGGAAGAGAUAAGUGCUGAAAGCAUCUAAGCACGAAACUUGCCCCGAGAUGAGUUCUCCCUGACUCCUUGAGAGUCCUGAAGGAACGUUGAAGACGACGACGUUGAUAGGCCGGGUGUGUAAGCGCAGCGAUGCGUUGAGCUAACCGGUACUAAUGAACCGUGAGGCUUAACCUUACAACGCCGAAG